rnacentral:rRNA from 1 species
AGAGUUUGAUCCUGGCUCAGGACGAACGCUGGCGGCGUGCCUAACACAUGCAAGUCGAGCGAUGAAGCCCUUCGGGGUGGAUUAGCGGCGGACGGGUGAGUAACACGUGGGUAACCUGCCUUAUAGAGGGGGAUAGCCUUCCGAAAGGAAGAUUAAUACCGCAUAACAUGUUUGUAUCGCAUGGUAUAAACAUCAAAGGAGCAAUCCGCUAUAAGAUGGACCCGCGGCGCAUUAGCUAGUUGGAGAGGUAACGGCUCACCAAGGCGACGAUGCGUAGCCGACCUGAGAGGGUGAUCGGCCACAUUGGAACUGAGACACGGUCCAGACUCCUACGGGAGGCAGCAGUGGGGAAUAUUGCGCAAUGGGGGAAACCCUGACGCAGCAACGCCGCGUGAAUGAAGAAGGCCUUAGGGUUGUAAAGUUCUGUUUUCUGGGACGAUAAUGACGGUACCAGAGGAGGAAGCCACGGCUAACUACGUGC